AAAUUGAGAUAAAUUGUCCUAUUUAGCAAUUCUGAAAUGGAGCAGAUGUUGAGUUCGUGAGGUCCAAAAUAUUUUAAAGGUCGCCCAAUACACACUCAGUAUAAAGAGUGCCAGAAGCUUUCUGCAAAACAACAGUAGCACGCCAUUGGUUGAAACUUUCCAACACACACUGAUGAAGAUGAGAAAGUAUAAAAUAGGUUGAUGGUAAGACUUCGGAGAGAUUUUUUGUGACAAGACGAUGACGAUGAAGAUUUUGUAUUGAACUGAAGAAACUGUAAUGAGGAAUCCGUGGAAGUGUAAUAAAUCUCCAGCUCGUCUAUGGCCUAGCAGCAAGAA